AUUGAACGCUGGCGGCAGGCCUAACACAUGCAAGUCGAGCGGAGCGGCGGACGGGUGAGUAAUGCCUAUGCAUCUGCCUGGUCGUGGGGGAGAACGUCCGGAAACGGGCGCUAAUUACUCAUACUAUCAGAUGAGUCUAGGCCGGAUUAGCUAGUUGGUGGGGUAAAGGCUUACCAAGGCGACGAUCCGUAACUGGUCUGUGAGGAUGAUCAGUCACACUGGAACUGAGACACGGUCCAGACUCCUACGGGAGGCAGCAGUGGGGAAUAUUGGACAAUGGGCGAAAGCCUGAUACAGCCAUGCCGCGUGUGUGAAGAAGGUCUUCGGGUUGUAAAGCACUUUAAGUUGGGAGGCGUUACCAACAGAAUAAGCACCGGCUAACUUCGUGCCAGCAGCCGCGGUAAUUC
rnacentral:rRNA from 1 species